rnacentral:rRNA from 1 species
GAUGAACGCUGGCGGCGUGCUUAACACAUGCAAGUCGAACGGAAAGGCUCCUGCUUGCUGGGGUACUCGAGUGGCGAACGGGUGAGUAACACGUGGGUGAUCUGCCCAGCACUUCGGGAUAAGCCUGGGAAACUGGGUCUAAUACCGGAUAGGACGAUGGUUUGGAUUCCAUUGUGGAAAGUUUUUUCGGUUUGGGAUGAGCUCGCGGCCUAUGAGCUUGUUGGUGGGGUAAUGGCCUACCAAGGCGUCGACGGGUAGCCGGCCUGAGAGGGUGUACGGCCACAUUGGGACUGAGAUACGGCCCAGACUCCUACGGGAGGCAGCAGUGGGGAAUAUUGCACAAUGGGCGCAAGCCUGAUGCAGCGACGCCGCGUGGGGGAUGACGGCCUUCGGGUUGUAAACUCCUUUCGCUAGGGACGAAGCGCAAGUGACGGUACCUGGAGAAGAAGCACCGGCUAACUACGUG